GGCAUUAAAAAGACCUUGCGUCAUUCCUGAUGAAAUUAGCAGCGUCGCAUGUUUAGGGACUGCUAUGGAUGCACUUUGGUCAAAGUGAAGAGGCAGGGAUUUGGGGUUUAAGCCCCCGUCUGGUCAGUAGCCGUCUGCUUUCACUGGCUGCGAACCCCGGGACCAGCACUUGAAAGCAUCUCAGACCCGCAGUCCAUUUUUUACUUGUCUUUAAGUGCAUGCGAUGGGAAUUGCUAACCUCGGCUAAGGAAAUUUCAUUUCCCCUAUCCUGCUAAACGGUUCUGGUCGACAUAUGUUUGUUAUCAGAGAGAAGUGCUAUGAACACAGAGCCAUUUUCUUAGCAGCUCUUUGACUCUGCGUUACCAUAGUCCCACACGGCAUUGGUCCUUUCCCGUUGGGAAGUCAUGAAUAAGAGACUAUGAGGCUUGCACGUCAGAUCUUCCUCAAUUAAUCCACCAUUAGCAUGUUUGGGAUCCUCUACUGGAUGGUUAACAGCAGCUUUGGUAACUGUAUGCUGUCCAUACCCAAUUAUGCUCUGCUAAAAAUGAACUCUGCAGAACAACCUUCCUGAGCUGUCAGUGUCUCCCGUUUUCCUAUUUUAACGCUUGUGUGUAGUGGCAGGCGACAGAUGGUGUAGAUCAGAUCGAUUUGAUUGCAUUAGACGAUUUUUUUUCCCUCCUCUCCCCCCCGACUCCUUUUCUGGAAGCCCACAUUCAGCUGAGAGGCGACCGCCGGGGACACGGGAAGCGAGAGCAGCCGCCGAGGUGCGAAUGCAGCGAGCCGCGGCCGUGGAGGCGCCGGGUCCUGCCCGGGUGGAUCCGUGCUAAUCCGGCGCCGGGAGGGAGCAGCUUCUGCCUCCCGGAGCCCGUCCCCAGCGCACGUCAGAUGACUCCCCGGUUUUACACACGGUUGGAGUUCUGCUCGAAACCUGGAUUUAAAGGGAAUCUGUUGCCGUGUGUGACAUCUCUUGCGAGCUCCCAGAGAGAACUGAUGGAGCAUACAGCUAGGGAAUAGGAUGCUGGAGAAGCUCAGGGGGAGACGCCAGGCAAUCACCAGGACGGGGAGGAACGGCGCUCGUUGGAUAUGGGACGAGAUCUCGCAGCCCUUGUGGAUUCUCCUUCCUCUAGAGGGGAAUUAUAGUUAUGGAUUUAUUGUCCCGGUGCAGCACUUCCACCAGCGGCAGCAGCAACAGCAGCAGCUUUCUGACUCUCUUCGGUGACGGGUAUUCUUGGGUGGAUAAUACGGAUUACGUUGUUAUUGCUUAAGAAUACGCGUAGUCGAGGAGAGUACCGGCGGCGGGCAGGCAGGCAGGCAGCGCGACCGCCCCCAGCCCUCCAGCUGGCUCCUACAGCCUCUAGUUGCCAAGGCUCCUGAAAGAGGGUCAGGGGUGACCUCUGAGCCCCUCUAAAACCAAAGCCUCAUGUCCAUGCUCGCUAACAUUACCAGUUCUGCAAGGGACUUGCAUCGUGCUGAAGUGUGGACACAUGAGAGGAGAACAACACAUCUAGUACGGCACAGCUUGGAGGAGUGGUAUUGUGUGCUCCAGAGAUGUGAGAGGAAUUGCAGGAUGAAAGCAGUGGGAAAGCUAAAAAUGAGAUUUGUGUGUACAAAACGAGAUGUUGGAGCCCCAUAUGCUUGGAGGUGAGACAGCUCACUAGAAGCCUGUUGGCUUCUCAGAGACACAGCCAAAAAUCUAAAUGCUUGGCAUUGUUAUAUUUAAAAGCAAACAAUACUACCAGGUGCCAUUGGCAAGGCCUGCUGCACUGUGAGGUGCAUGCCAAUCCUUUGGGACAGUCACUGUGGGCUUUUGCACCCCAGACUGCCCAGCAGUGGUACCAAAUGAUGAGCUGAAAUGUAGGCGUAGCCUAGAGACCACUGCUAUCCCAUGCCUCCUCUGCACAUGGGAUGGAGUUUUGUAGAAUGUUCUGAUGCAAACGAAGCCAUGUUUGUCUCCAGAAAAGAUGUUUGCUGUAUUGAUAGUAGCAGUAUAUUUUAUAGAUUCUGAGAGAUUAAAAAAGCAGUAACAACUGCAUGACUGGAGAUGUACCUAUGCCAAUUGACUUUUGAACUGGGGCAUGGAGGUGAGUUAAUCUUCACUUGGUGUACAGUGGAACCCAAAAAAGAACAGAUUUACAGUAAAAUUUUACUUUCCUGGCAGUGCUUUUGAUUUUACAAACAGCACUGUGUUAACUCAAAUGAAGGUGAUAACAUGGCUAAUAAGUUGCAGCGUAUGCGGUUAUAAGGUUUUAUCAUGCUUUGAAACAUUUAGUCAUCAACAAGAUUCCUCCUUUUAUGAAGCCCAUUUUGUAGCAUUCCAUAAACAAGGUUCAACAGUCACAAUUUCAUUAGCAUUAUAUUGUUGCCAUAGUAAUGCAGUACCAAUUCAAUUGAUGGGCUUUUCAUCCUGGGCUUAUUAUAGGACUGCUCCUCUUGUCAAAGAUGCAUCUAUAUGGAUACAGCAAACAGAUCUUAUUGUCUGAAUAUUAGCACAAAUUGCAUCAUAUGCUAAUUUAGAUAGCAACAUAUCACACUUUUGGCAUCAGACCCAGAAAUCAUCAGACAUGAUAGAAGUCACUAAACACUAUACAUGUCAAAGUCUCAUCCCCAAACUGGGAAAAUUACACGCACUGUUUGCUGCAGUUUCUGAAUUUGUUAUCACAAAAGCAUUUGGCUCUGCUUCUACUGCUCCGCAAUGCUGCUGGGAUGGCAUAGCUUUGCAGGUGGUAAUAGCAAUGGAGAAAAAGCAGAAACAAGAGUUGAAGAAUAAAACAUGAUCUGAAGAGUAGUUGGCCCUUAUUCUGGUCACAUGUUCUGCAGCAUGCUUUGGGAGUCACUGCCAAACGCAAUGCCUUGGUUUCCCUGACUGUAAAAUGGGAAUAAUGACCCCUCUCCCUCUGUGCAGAGCACAUGGUGUAUACCCAGUGACAAGUGAUAUCCUGUACUGCUAAACACUGUUAUUAAGUGAAGGAGCAAUAUUUUUAACGGCUCCAGGAAAAUACACAGCACAGAUCUACAAUUUAAGUAAUGUCUCUAGAGAAUCUGGACUCACCCAGUGAAACACAAAGGUGUUGGCAGAGUGAGCGCAUGGUGGAACGUGUGCACUUAUGGAGGAGAGGAAAGAUAUUCACUUCAUUAAAAAUCAUGGCCAUUUGUAGGGAUGUUUUUUAAAUAUGUAAUGUUGUAGGCUACGGGGGAUGUUGCUGCAGCAAUCAGACCAAGAAGAGCAACAAUAAAAUUCAAGGCAGCAGGAUGACUUCUUAUUGUAUGUAGAAACAUUUGGUGCAUUUUCACUGUUUUGUUGAUGGUUGCUUCCUAUUUAGAAAGGAAAUACCUUUUUUUCUAUCCCAACACACAGUGUUUAGUCUAUCAUUUCUUAGCUUAAUCAUGUUGUGUCCUUCGCAGCAGCAAGGGUAAAUUAUAGGCAAGUAGCAUUCAGUAUAAUCAAAGAUGUGUUCCACUUUAUAUGAUAAGUUCUGUCUGAUUUACAAAGGCAGUAUCUUCUCCAGCUGAGCAAGGAAAGAGAGGCCUUUGCUUGCAGAUAAAAAUCGCCUCAGAGGAAAGGCUUCUCCCCCCAUUAGGAUCCUAUUGUUCAUAUAGAAAAAAACCAUUGUUACUUCUAUAAUCUAUCCAUUUACUCUUACAAAGAUAUACCCAGAGGACCCAGCUGAGACUGGGACCUAAUUGUGUCAGGCACAGCAAAACCAUAUAGAGAGCCACGGUCUCUGCUUCAGACAGUUUAUAAGCUGAAGAGCCAGAAGAACAGCAAGAGCAGAGAGUAACUGACUCAGAGAUGGAGGAGGUGGUGGUGGUGGCAGAAGCAGAGUGGAUCUCUUGCCUGGGUCCCUUCCAACCGGAUGCCUGCCUCACAGGGGGAAGGAAAUUCUUAGGAUUCAGUCUCUAUCUCACAUGUAGCCACGCUCUACCCCCUAAUUCCAACAGCUGCAUCUGUACUGCUGAGCAGGGGCAGCCUGAGGCAAGGCUUGCAGUCAGACUGUGCAGCCCACCCGUAUUACCUAUUAAACACCUUCAGGCUGGCUCCAGGGCAACCCUGUUAAUCCUCCCAGGGACAAAGGCUCAGGCGUACCCUAUGUUUUCAAGCAUGUUUAAGGGCACUGGGGUCAGGGUACCUGCCAGAGGAAUAUUAAUGAGCUCCAACAGCACAUCCGAGGCAAGAGGGCUCAGGCUUUCUUCUUGUGUGGUAGCUGCUUCCAAACCCAAGCCUGAACAGAUGGAGGGUGGGGAGAGAGGAGUUUUCAGUCACAAUAGGAAAAAGUCAGCUUGCAAAAGGAUGGGAAUGCUUUGAUCAGGAACAAAUAUGAUGUCUCAUACAAAGAGAGCAGGAGCCUGGAAUUACUCCAGUGCUCUCCCUCCCUCUUUCUUAAAAAUCCUUGUGGUAGAAUGGUUAAACUCUGGGAGAGAAGGCAUUAAUCUUCUAGUGAGUAAAUACUUCCUUUUGCUGUGUGGUGCCUGCUGACUUUACUGCUGUUGCAACCUUCUAAAAUGCUUCCAGAAAAUCUCAUUAGAUUUCAGCUUUAUUUAUUUUUUUAUUAAGGAGUCUGAAGAGAGUUUACCAUUUAACUUUUUAAUAGAAACUUCACAUAGUACGCUGGCAUGGAUUUGAUCUCAUAAGAAUUCUGAUCUCAUUUGUAGGAAUCCUGAUUUGUAGUAAAAUUCAGUAACUGUAGAUCUGUUGUUGCAUUAAUACAAAUCUGGCAGCUUUACACUAGCAAUUUUACAGUAAACCUAUAUUUUUAUAGUGGUUUUGCUUAGUGCAUUUGGUAUUGGUGAAGACAAAGAUUGAGCAUGCAGAAGUGACACCCCUUAUGAUGGGAUUGUCUGCAGUAAACUGAGAAGGACGUUUACUUACUUUAAAGUAUUUAUCUUAGAUGACUUAAAAAAUGCAUUUUAGUACUGAAUCAAAUACGAAAAUUAAUUUUCUAUCAUCAGUUCACUCCUGGCGACUCUUUAUGUAAAACUUGAUAUAAAAAAGGUAAGAAAAUAGUGAGAGGGAAGUAACAGACCUCUUGCCUGAGACAUCAAGGGAUAUUUACAGAUCAGAACUGGACGGUACCACUCCAUGAGCAUGGUGUACAUAUUGUCAUGUUCACAGUGCAGACAGCUAACAGAGUCCUGGAAAGCUGCACUUACUGGCAGAAAGCCGUAAAAUGCAGGUACUGACAGAGGCCUAGACUUCAUGUCUGGCACCUGCACUCCUUCCCCUUCCCUCAGUGGGGCCUUGGAGGCUCUGACAUUCUGGGAGCUGACCUCUUGGCCAUGGUGGGCUGGGACAGAGUGCAGCACCUUUGGAAUAGGAUGGAUAGUGGGGCAGAGCCAAGCUAAGGCCAGAGUCAUAGCAGGACUGAGCCAUGCUCUGUAGGGAUGGUCCUAGCUGAUGGAGGCUUCAACCUGUCUUGUUAUUACAGCCUUGUAAUGCUGUUCCCAGGACCAAAUUCUGUCACACCAAGCCACCCUGGCAAAGUCAGGGCUCUGCACAGCCUGCCUAGAGCUAGCAUAGCUCCAUCAGGCCCCCAGCAGUGCAUCUGUGCUGCUCACACCAGCUGCUCCUGAGCCUCUCUGCAGAACCCCAUGGGUCUGCUGCUCUGGACCCUUCACACAGGUGAGGGCCCCCAGGGCACAAAUCAACCAGGCACAUGGGCCACCUGCUGAUGGGCUUCAGCUGGGGCUGCUGGGCCCAGUCUUCACAGGCAGAGCCAAGAGUACAGAAAAGAAAUAGCUCUCUUCGUGCCACAGCUUGUUUUGUCAGUAUUCUCUUUGCUUUACGUUUUCAGCAUUUUUCCUUUCUGCACAAACUAACAGGAGGAAAUACUGUGUUCUGCUCUACUAAGUUAAUAUAAGCAAUAUGUUUUAAUUCUUGUUGGGAGCAUUGAAAUUCCAAGUGACAGUUAUUGAGAUUUGUUGCACCUCUGAAAGACUAUAAAAAAUUAUCUGAAUGAUUCCCUGCUUGUGCUGGCUUAGAUGUUCCUAGGGAGAGGCACACGCCCAAAGGACAGGGCACGCACAGAGGACAGGAGCUGUUGUUGGAUGCAUGACAGCAAAUCUGCUUUUGAUCUCUUCCUGUGAUUUUCUAGGUGAGCCCCAGACCUGCCCGUGGUCAGCACUCUCUGACUUCGGCCCCACCAUGUAGAUGGAGCAACGUCCUGUGUGCCCGGCUGCUGCAUGGAGCUGCCCAUGUGCUGGCACCCUGACCCAGCAGAGAUGCUGCCAGUGCCGGCUCCACCCUGCUCGCUGCUGCCUGCCCACCUGUCUCCUUCCCCCAAGCCAUGGCCCACACCACCACCACCACCGGCAUCUCCGUCGCUACCCACAGCACAAAUGCAACAUGGAACAGCGAGUGUGGCUUGAGCAGGCUGAGCUUGUUAAAAUUGCAGUUAAAUAAAUUGUAGGGCUGUAAUACUGGGAGGCUGAUUGGGAUCACAAGAUAUCGGUGUCAUAUCCUGUGGCUUUUAUGUAGUGAGAUGUAGAUUUUUGCCAUCACCAUCUGGCUAUCCAACAGAUAACAACCAGAGAAAAUGGACUUGCAAAUCUCCAGUUGUGAAUAACUGAUAUAUUGUUGCCAGUAAAACGAGGACCUGGUAAACUGCCAGAAGGAAAAGUUUUUUUGAGUAUGAUCAGACUUUUAAUAUGUGUCAGCUUUUGCCUAUGUGUAAAUUAAAGAAACUCCCUAAUUACCAUACAUUUUAAACAGUGUGUCUAGAGAACUCUGGUCCUGUAGAACCCAGAUGUGGCUAUGUUAUCAGCUUCAAAUUCAGGCAAGUAAAUAAAGUAGCAAAUGUACGACUCAACUGGUGUAUCUGCACAGUACAGAUCAUCUAGGUGUGGGUUAAAUGCUAUGAGGAAAGAACAAGAAAUAAGCAAAAAAUACAGUAGUGUAGAAUAUGCAUGUUCUUAACUUCUAGAAAAUCUCAACAGCUGGAAUUUUAGAAUGUGAUAUUUAGACAAAUGUAAAGAGAGAAACAGUGUGUUUUUCUCUGGAGAAAAAUGUAAUAGGUGUACAGAUCAAAUUAUAACACUUAGUCCUUCUAGGACAAAUUCCAGUUGGGGAUCGUGAAGUAAUCUGAAAAUAUUAAUGAUUUAGCCUCACAGCUAGAUUUCAGGUAGAUAAUAAUAAUUAUUGCUACAAAUAAUUUCCUUCAUUCUUGCUCUGAAAUGAAAAUUGAGGCAUAGAGGUUUUAUGUAUUUGUCCAAAGUCCAUUUUACUGCUGUAACCAUCCUUCUAUAGAUUUACUUCGUAUUAAGUAUGCCCUUUUCCAAAUAUUGUAUGUGAUAUACUAUUCAGUUCAUGAAUUCUAAAAAACAAGCAGCUGAUCUUCCUUAUGAAGCAGUGCCUGUGAACAUCUCCAUUUGCAUUUGAAUCCUCAAGCAGUGACAAUCCUGCUUAAAAAAAAAAAAGAAAAAGAAAAAGGGAAUGAUGAAAAUCAGAACAAAAUCUGUCAAGGGCCCAUCUGUGACUGCAUAUCAGAAUAUCACUAAGAUGCUCUGAGGAACAAAGUUGUCUCCAAGUCUAACACAUAGUGCUUUUGUCUACGGAAAUAAUUCAAGAUGGGUGAAAUGAGGGCAAAUAACAUGAAAAACUGUUUCCCUACUGAACAGUCCUGGAAAGCAGCACCUUUGUUUCAUGGAUAAUCUUGUUUGUGAUACACGUACCAGUGCUUAGAUACUAAAGGUUUUACAUGACGAAAUACUCAGCAUGCCCAUAUCUGCUUCAGAUAAGCAUGCAUAGCUGUUGCUUCCAGUCAAGAGUCAGGGAGCCAGGGGUCUUUGGCCCUGGCAGGUGAGAACUUGGGUUAGGUAUGUCUGUGGCAAGCUUUCAUAGCCUGCUACCUGAAGCACUGGGGAAACAAAAGGAUAGACUCCACCCUGGACUUAACAAUACUCUUGAAACCACAUCUAUUUCCUUCUAAAUAGGAACACAUAAAGUUAGGAAAACCUAUUUGUAAGCUAUUUAUAUGUCCUCUUCAGGAUCUGAAUUCCUGCAAGCCUUAGUCAUAGCUCUUUGCUCUCACAUAUGCAAUAUCUGGAACUGACAACUGGAAAUAGGAGAAACAUGGCAUUAAUGUUGUUCUAAUGCACUGUGGGUUUUUUUUCCUUCUAUUUCUUAACUGUUACAGUAUGCAAAUAUUUAGUUAACUGGUCCUCAUGGUUUCUUUUUAUUGAAUUGCUUUCACUAUGGCAAAUAAAUAUUCAUAAAGAAAUGUGGACAAUAAAUCAUUUCCAAUAGUUCAAACCAUUUUCUUUCUAGACUGCAUAUAUAUUCAGCUGUGACUUGCCUUUAAUAUUUAAUUCAAAAGACAGACUUGUAGAAGGACAAUAGAGAUAAUGUGUCAAGCAAUAAUUAAAACAGGGGGUAUGAUUAAAACCAUUUUGAUCUACACUGUGCUCUGUCAAACUCAUAAUCUGCCAUGUUUGCUUAGAUGAUUCUCCACUUGCUUUGUAUGGAACCCAAAAUAAACUUUUGUUUGAAGAUACUGCACAGAACAAAAGAUUUCAACCCUAAGCUUUUGGGACCUGGAGACCUUCCCUGCUCUGGGCUUUGGGUAUGUCUUCUCUAUCAUCCUCACAAGACAAAUCUCAGGCAGCCAUCAUCCCUCAAUUUAACAUGGUGACUUCCCUCGGAAGUAGGUCCAUAUACGUGGCACAAUACAACUAGGGGACAAUCCAAUGUAACCUGGUUCACCAUUUAGACUGAAGCUAAGAGCUCCAAAAGAAGUGCAAGUUAAAGAUACAGGGAGUUUAUACACUUGGGGACCCUGGUUCAAAUUCAAAUUCAAAUAAGAGUGAUAUUUCUUGUUUCACUGUGUGUUUUGGCCACCAAAAUACACCUUGUAUUUGUCCCAGCUUCAUUAUCUUUUCUGAUUUGUUGCUGAUUUUGGGCCAUAACUCAAUAGAGCACUUAUGUACAGACUUAAAGAAAUUGAUUUAAGAAAACACUACUCUGUUUAAUCCUGGGCAGACAUUCAACUUUGAAAUCAAUGGGACUUAUGAACAGCCCUGACCUUGGGGUCUAAAUGGUUGCUGAAUCAGUGCAUUGACAGAAACAUACUGGAAAAGAUAAUAUCCAUGUCUAAUCAGAAUGAUCGUCUCUACUUUCAUGGGAAAUUACCCAUAGAUAACACAUUAUUCUGCUCAAGAAAUCCAUUUUAUAGCAGUUAUUAGAAAACCUUAACACAUUUUCUGUUUGUCAGACAUACUAGGUGAACAGUGUCUCUCCUUGAUAGUGUAUCUGAACUAUACUUCAAAUGAAAAAAUAAAUUACAGGAAAAGUGCUGUCACAAGGGACCAUUUCUAAUUAUUUACUGAGUCUUUCCCAGUUGCCUGCUAUGUGCCAGACUUUUGGGAAACAUGUGGACAGAAGACAAAGCAGUGCGGUUCUGAAAUCCCACGGACUCAGUCAAAGACAAUAGCACAUGAAAUACCAUGUUAUGCAAUAUCACGUAAACAAAGCUAUCUCCUAAGAACUGCACUCACAAGGGAUGCCUGCCCAGUCUACAUAUAGAAUUCUAAGUGAACACAUUCUUAUUACACUGAGAAAAUGGUAAGAAUAAAAGGUGUUUGUUUCUGGUAUAAUAACGUACAGAUUGCACUACUUAAGUGCAACUGUGGCUGAAUCCACAUAGUUAAAAGAAGUAAGUAAAGUAGUUGAUGUUAUACUGCAUGAAAUAAAAAUCUUCUUGCCAUUCCUAAAAAUGUUUUACACAAGUCAUUUUUAUUAUAAUUAGAAGUUGGCAAACAGGAUAUCUUAGAUGCUGCUUAUAGAGCUGAAACGGGUUUAAGAGGGGAAAUAAAUUAUAAU
ensembl:lncRNA